rnacentral:rRNA from 1 species
UCGAGCGGAUGCAGUGGAGCAGUGCUGCCUUGCUUCGUGGGCAGAGGGGUGAGUAAGGCCUAUGAAUCUGCCUGGUAUUGGGGGUGGACGUUUCGAAAGGGACGCUUAUACCGCUAACGUCCUACAGCAGAAGGCAGGGGACCGUCAGGCCUUGGCCUUGCACAUGAGCCUAGGUCGAAUUCGCUUUUUGGUGGGGUAAAGGCCUACCAAGGCCACGAUCCCUAUCUGGUCUGAGACGAUGAGGAUUCUCACUGGAACUGAAACACGGUCCCGACCCCUACUCCAGGCGGCAGUGGGGAAGAUUGGAAUAUGGGCAAGGGCCUGAUCCUGCCAUGCCCCGUGUGUGUAGAAGGUCUUCGGAUUGUAAAGCACUUUCCCUUGGGAGGAAGGGCAAUUCCUUCAUACCUUGCUGCUUUGACGUUACCAACACAAUAAGCACCGGCUAACUUCAUGCUCGCGCCCGCGGUAAUAGUAAUGGUGCAGGCGUUAAUCUUAAUUACUGUUACUGAACCUCACGCAUGUGUAUGGGUAAGAUGGAUUUCAUAUCCCCGGCCUCGACCUGAGAACUGCAUCUGUAACUGCCAGAGUACAAUAAGGUAGAGGGAGAUGGAAUUUCCUGUCUAGCUGUAAAAUGCAUAUAUAUAGAAAUGAACACGAGUGGCGAUGGCGACCACCUGCAUACUGACAGUGAGCGUGCGAGAGCGUGGGAGCAAACAGGAUUAGAUACCUUGGUUGUCCACGCCGUAAACGAUGUAGACUAUCUGUUGGGCUCCUUGAGAUGUUAGUGGCGCAGCUAACGCGAUAAGUCGCCCGCCUGGGGAGUACGUCCGCAAGGUUAAAAUUCAAAUGAAUGGACGGGGGCCCGCACAAGCGUUGGAGCAUGUGGUUUAUUUCGAAGCAACGGGAAGACCCUUCCCUGCCCUUGACAUGUCAGGAAUUUCGCAGAGAUGAGAGGGUCCUUUCGGGAAUCGGAACCCAGUUGCUGCAUGGCGUUGUUCACUUCUUUUCUUGAGAUGUUGGGUUAAUUCCCCUAACGAGGGCAACCCUUUUCCUUAGUUACCACCACGUUUUGGUGGGCAUUUUAAGGGGACUGCCGGGGACAAACCGGAGGAAGGUGGGGAUGACGUCAAGUCAUCAUGGCCCUUACGGCCAGGGCUACCCACUAGCUACAAUGGUCGGUACAGAGGGUUCACAAGCCGGGAGGUGGAGCUAAUCCCAUAAAACCGAUUGUAGUCCGGAUCGCAGUCUGCAACUCGAUUGCGUGAAGUCGGAAUCGCUAGUAAUCCAGAAUCAGCAUGUCAGCGGUGAAUACGUUCCCGGGCCUUGUACACACCGCCCGUCACACCAUGGGAGUGGGUUGCUCCAGAAGUCAGCUAGUCUAAACCGC